rnacentral:rRNA from 1 species
GACGAACGCUGGCGGCGUGCCUAAUACAUGCAAGUCGAACGCAGUGGGGACGGGUGAGUAACACGUUGGUAACUUCCAAUCAGAGGGGAUAACACUUGGAAACAGGUGCUAAACCGAUACUGAUGGAUGGACCCGGGGUGCAUUAGCUAGUUGUGGAGGUAACGGCGCACCAAGGCCACGAGGCAUAGCCGACCUGAGAGCGUGAUCGGCCACACUGGGACUGAGACACGGCCCAGACUCAUACGGGAGGCAGCAGUAGGGAAUAUUGGGCAAUGGGCGAAAGGCUGACCGAGCAAUGCCGCGUGAGUGAAGAAGGUUUUCGGGUUGUAAAACUCUGUUAGUAGGGAGGCGGUAUCUAAACAAAAAGCCACGGCUAACUACGUGCCAGCAGCCGCGGUAAUUC